GACGAACGCUGGCGGCGUGCUUAACACAUGCAAGUCGAACGGAAAGGCCCUGCUUUUGUGGGGUGCUCGAGUGGCGAACGGGUGAGUAACACGUGAGUAACCUGCCCUUGACUUUGGGAUAACUUCAGGAAACUGGGGCUAAUACCGGAUAGGAGCUCCUGCUGCAUGGUGGGGGUUGGAAAGUUUCGGCGGUUGGGGAUGGACUCGCGGCUUAUCAGCUUGUUGGUGGGGUAGUGGCUUACCAAGGCUUUGACGGGUAGCCGGCCUGAGAGGGUGACCGGCCACAUUGGGACUGGGAUGCGGCCCAGACUCCUACGGGAGGCAGCAGUGGGGAAUAUUGCACAAUGGGCGGAAGCCUGAUGUAGCAAAGCCGCGUGCGGGAUGACGGCCUUCGGGUUGUAAACCGCUGUCGCCUGUGACGAAGCGUGAGUGACGGUAAUGGGUAAAGAAGCACCGGCUAACUACGUG
rnacentral:rRNA from 1 species